UGUUUUCCUCCCUCAGUUUGCCAGGGGUGAGAAAGCAGAGCUCAAAUGAACACAUCUGGCACAGUGUACCAAACUAAGCCACUAAUACAAAAGGUGGAUCCUCCAACACCAGCCACAGGUGACAGGAUAAGAAGCCCAGCACAUCAUGUAUAAGAUAUAAAUGGAUCCAUCUGUCAGCAGUUAUUUUAUGAGGGAACUGCUCCCAAUUAUGCCAGAAACAGCUUUUAAUGAAACAUGAUUUGAAAGCACUACAGAGGGGAAGAAAAUGUGCAAAGUAAAUUCCUGAUCCAGUGAAAAUUGAGAAGAGUGAUAGAUUCUGCCAUUAUAAUUGGCAAACAGAAGGGAGGGGUUUGAUAGAGAUGGCGGUAGAACAGCUUUUGGGGCCAUAUUUGGCUGGGAUAGCAAUCUUCUAAUCAUAUGUCCAGCCUGUCUUCAGAGGUCAUUUUCAAGGUACAUUUUCAGAUGAGAAAUAGAGGUGUUAUAUGACAAUUUCACUGAUGGCUGCAAAGAAAUGUUCAUUACGUUGCCUUCUUGCCACAGGAGGGACCAGCCGUGUAUCAAACGGGGGAACAGGUGUCAAUGAAAAACUGGAGUUUAGGUAUUCUGAAUCUAAAUCCUUCAUACAGUCCACUUUCAGCCCUUUCUCUUAUGACAGGAAGUCAAUGAACCCAUAUUAAGUGGCAGGCAAAUAUUUUUUUUUUCUCCCCAAUUUCUUCUGAGUUUUGGAUUUUUGGUUGUUUGGUGUGGGUUUUUUUCAUUAUUUCGUAUUUAUUAUCUCAAUCAUCACAAGAGCUGCUCUUCCCAUAGCCUGGCUGCUGGAGGCACACCAUUUAUUUCUUUUGGCAAAGCAGUCACCAGUGUUCUAGCCUGAGAGACAGGACUUAAUAAUGCUGAAUUUAAAGUUAUUAGAAAUACCAUUGCUUUCACAAGUACACAAAUAUUGAAUUACUACAUCUAUUGGAGAUCGGCUGAAUUACGAGUCGGGUUUCACGGACUGAUUUAUGCUGGAAAUUCACAUUUACAAAUUAUUUUCCCCAAUAAACCAGGCUUAGGUAUGACAGAGAAGUUAUUGCUGUUACUGGUGAAAUGUUUUCUACUUUGCUCUUUGUUCCUGGGAAUGCUGUACACCCAACAAUAUAUUUCCCUCAUGAAAUAGCUUGCCUGAAACAUCUGCUGCCAGAAAGUUUGUCCGGAACUUGCAAUGAUGGAUGAAUUUUUGACAGGUAAUUGCAAUUCAGAUCAAGAUGCAGACAGAUUUAGUACCUAGAAGCUCCCAGUUUAUUAAAAUCACCAUUGAUUUAUUUGGGCACCCCCCUCUCUUUUCACCACCAUUCAGAAAUUAAUCACUUGGGUAUGGUGUUCAGGGCUCAUCCAGCUGCUCGUAAUAUGAAAUACAUCAGUUUAUCCCAACUUUAUCUAUCUCUCAGCACUUCUGGAGGACCUAUCGCCACAGUGUCUAGUCACCACCAAACCCAACAUCUACCAUUAGUGUAAGCCUUUCAUGAAGCUCCAAAGAAAUUGUACAGUUUGUAUUAGUCAGAAGGUUUAAAAUCUUCAGACUUCUCUUCAGGCUUACUAAAGAAAAUUAAGUGUCACCACUGCCUAUCCCACCCAUGAAAAUUAUGUUUAUCCUUUCCUUAGUAGCUGAAAAGACUGGAAGGCUCCACUGGUUUGGUUCCCAUCAGCACGGUGUUUUUCUUUUUGCAGCAUAUAGCAAAUUCAUUACUGAAUAGACAAAUGUCACUGAAAUAAUACAUAUCUAUAUUAUAUAUCCACCUGGUGCUUUCUCCAGUUCUCAGUGAAGUUAGCAAAGGUUCACUGGAGAUAUUUCACUCAGCCCUGGCAGUUUCCAGACAGAUUUCCAUCAACCCUUUUGGAAAUUCAGACACUGACUUUCUUUGCAACUCACAUCUGUUCUGAUAAACCAUUAGUUAUGCAUGGAGAGCAGCCAGAUGACCUCCAGCUAUUUUUCUUAUACCUUUCCCAGACUAAACAGAGCUAGGCAAGUGUGGGGCCUGCUUGGAGAAGAGCCACAGAAAGUUGAGGAUGCUGGGGUAAAAUGAGCAUGGCAAAUGCAGACACUUAUAGCAUUUCUACUUGAUUUAACCCAGAAUUGUCAUUACAGUUAUUCCAGAAUAGCCACUGAAGUGAAUCAAAGAGAAGAAUGGCAGAAGGUAACAGGUGAUGUGAUUCCUUGGAUAUAAGCUAAAAAUACACAACUCUCAGCACCUGAUCAGAGAUCCCAAUAUUCUCUCCUGCAGUGGGCACAAGCAGAUGUCAAAGGACAAGUAAGACCAGACCAUGGAACUCCUGUGAGUACUAUUCCACCUGCCAGUUCUUUCCAGCCUAGAGGGAUUUUCUCAGCCAGCUGUAAUUUUGUGCAUUUACUGUCAAAGGAGAGGGAAACACAGUUUUGGAAGAUGUGAUCCAUCUCUGUGACCUGAUGAGAGAUCAUUAGUCUGAAAACUGAACUUGAACUUCAGAACUGGGGCUGCAACGGGAAAGAAUCACAGGAGAAGCCGCUUGGGUUUUGAGUCUGCACUUUCACCAAAGCCAGAGCAAAGUUUUAGAGUCAUGGAAAAUUAGAAAGAAAAGAGCACAAGAUCAUGACUGGAAAAUAAGCACUUCCUUCUCACCAUAAACUUGUUCACCAGGCAAGUAUUUCUCCUCUAAUAAAAAUCAAUACAUGCUAAAUCUGCAGUGAGUGCAGUUAAACAUCACAUAUUACCAUUGAUGCACCACCCCCCACUCAGCAAGGUCACUGAACCCAAACUUCAGUGUUUCACAU